GACGAACGCUGGCGGCGUGCUUAACACAUGCAAGUCGAGCGGUAAGGCCCUUUCGGGGUACACGAGCGGCGAACGGGUGAGUAACACGUGGGUGACCUGCCCUUAGCUCUGGGAUAAGCCUGGGAAACUGGGUCUAAUACCGGAUAUGACUCCAUAACGCAUGUUGUGGGGUGAAAGCCUUGUGCGGCUAGGGAUGGGCCCGCGGCCUAUCAGCUUGUUGGUGGGGUGAUGGCCACCAAGGCGACGACGGGUAGCCGGCCUGAGAGGGCGACCGGCCACACUGGGACUGAGACACGGCCCAGACUCCUACGGGAGGCAGCAGUGGGGAAUCUUGCGCAAUGGGCGAAAGCCUGACGCAGCGACG
rnacentral:rRNA from 1 species